AUUGAACGCUGGCGGCAUGCCUUACACAUGCAAGUCGAACGGUAACAGGUCUUCGGAUGCUGACGAGUGGCGAACGGGUGAGUAAUAUAUCGGAACGUGCCCAGUCGUGGGGGAUAACGUAGCGAAAGCUACGCUAAUACCGCAUACGAUCUACGGAUGAAAGCGGGGGAUCGCAAGACCUCGCGCGAUUGGAGCGGCUGAUAUAAGAUUAGCUAGUUGGUGAGGUAAAGGCUCACCAAGGCGACGAUCUGUAGUUGGUCUGAGAGGACGACCAGCCACACUGGGACUGAGACACGGCCCAGACUCCUACGGGAGGCAGCAGUGGGGAAUUUUGGACAAUGGGCGAAAGCCUGAUCCAGCAAUGCCGCGUGCAGGACGAAGGCCUUCGGGUUGUAAACUGCUUUUGUACGGAACGAAAAGCCCUGGGUUAAUACCCUGGGGUCAUGACGGUACCGUAAGAAUAAGCACCGGCUAACUACGUGCCAGCCGCCGCGGUAAUAC
rnacentral:rRNA from 1 species